GGGUUGUGAGGUUAAGCGACUAAGCGUACACGGUGGAUGCCCUGGCAGUCAGAGGCGAUGAAGGACGUGCUAAUCUGCGAUAAGCGUCGGUGAGGUGAUAUGAACCGUUAUAACCGGCGAUUUCCGAAUGGGGAAACCCAGUGUGUUUCGACACACUAUCAUUAACUGAAUCCAUAGGUUAAUGAGGCGAACCGGGGGAACUGAAACAUCUAAGUACCCCGAGGAAAAGAAAUCAACCGAGAUUCCCCCAGUAGCGGCGAGCGAACGGGGAGGAGCCCAGAGCCUGAAUCAGUGUGUGUGUUAGUGGAAGCGUCUGGAAAGGCGUGCGAUACAGGGUGACAGCCCCGUACACAAAAAUGCACAUAUUGUGAGCUCGAUGAGUAGGGCGGGACACGUGGUAUCCUGUCUGAAUAUGGGGGGACCAUCCUCCAAGGCUAAAUACUCCUGACUGACCGAUAGUGAACCAGUACCGUGAGGGAAAGGCGAAAAGAACCCCGGCGAGGGGAGUGAAAAAGAACCUGAAACCGUGUACGUACAAGCAGUGGGAGCCUCUUAAUGGGGUGACUGCGUACCUUUUGUAUAAUGGGUCAGCGACUUAUAUUCUGUAGCAAGGUUAACCGAAUAGGGGAGCCGAAGGGAAACCGAGUCUUAACUGGGCGUUAAGUUGCAGGGUAUAGACCCGAAACCCGGUGAUCUAGCCAUGGGCAGGUUGAAGGUUGGGUAACACUAACUGGAGGACCGAACCGACUAAUGUUGAAAAAUUAGCGGAUGACUUGUGGCUGGGGGUGAAAGGCCAAUCAAACCGGGAGAUAGCUGGUUCUCCCCGAAAGCUAUUUAGGUAGCGCCUCGUGAAUUCAUCUCCGGGGGUAGAGCACUGUUUCGGCAAGGGGGUCAUCCCGACUUACCAACCCGAUGCAAACUGCGAAUACCGGAGAAUGUUAUCACGGGAGACACACGGCGGGUGCUAACGUCCGUCGUGAAGAGGGAAACAACCCAGACCGCCAGCUAAGGUCCCAAAGUCAUGGUUAAGUGGGAAACGAUGUGGGAAGGCCCAGACAGCCAGGAUGUUGGCUUAGAAGCAGCCAUCAUUUAAAGAAAGCGUAAUAGCUCACUGGUCGAGUCGGCCUGCGCGGAAGAUGUAACGGGGCUAAACCAUGCACCGAAGCUGCGGCAGCGACACUAUGUGUUGUUGGGUAGGGGAGCGUUCUGUAAGCCUGUGAAGGUGGCCUGUGAGGGUUGCUGGAGGUAUCAGAAGUGCGAAUGCUGACAUAAGUAACGAUAAAGCGGGUGAAAAGCCCGCUCGCCGGAAGACCAAGGGUUCCUGUCCAACGUUAAUCGGGGCAGGGUGAGUCGACCCCUAAGGCGAGGCCGAAAGGCGUAGUCGAUGGGAAACAGGUUAAUAUUCCUGUACUUGGUGUUACUGCGAAGGGGGGACGGAGAAGGCUAUGUUGGCCGGGCGACGGUUGUCCCGGUUUAAGCGUGUAGGCUGGUUUUCCAGGCAAAUCCGGAAAACCAAGGCUGAGGCGUGAUGACGAGGCACUACGGUGCUGAAGCGACAAAUGCCCUGCUUCCAGGAAAAGCCUCUAAGCAUCAGGUAACAUCAAAUCGUACCCAAAACCGACACAGGUGGUCAGGUAGAGAAUACCAAGGCGCUUGAGAGAACUCGGGUGAAGGAACUAGGCAAAAUGGUGCCGUAACUUCGGGAGAAGGCACGCUGAUAUGUAG
rnacentral:rRNA from 1 species